rnacentral:sRNA from 1 species
CCAAUGACGGCUUCCUGAAGCAGCUGCGGGAGCUCAAUGAGAAGUUGAUGGAGGAGAGAGAAGAGGACUAUGGCCGGGAGGGGGGAUCAGCUGAGGCUGAGGAGGGCGAGGGCACUGGGAGCGCGCUCGGGGCCAGAGUGCACGCCCUGACGGUGGAAGAGGAGGACGACAGCGCCAGCCACCUGAGUGGCUCCUCCCUGGGGAAGGCCACCCAGGCCUCCAAGCCCCUCACCCUCAUAGACGAGGAGGAGGAGGAGAAACUGUACGAGCAGUGGAAGAAGGGGCAGGGCCUCCUCUCAGACAAGGUCCCCCAGGAUGGAGGUGGCUGGCGCUCAGCCUCCGCUGGCCAGGGUGGGGAGGAGCUCGAGGACGAGGACGUGGAGAGGAUCAUCCAGGAGUGGCAGAGCCGAAACGAGAGGUACCAAGCAUAAGGGCAGCAGAGGUGGAGUAGGGAGGAGGCAAAGAGGGGGAGAACCAUCAAUACGAAUACGAGGUCCGAAUGCUGGACCAACUGAUACCAUUUUCUGUUGCUCAGCGCCCUCUAAGCUUUGGUGUUUCACUUAAUGUAUUUGACAGUGUUCAUCACAGGCUAGAGAGGUGAGCUUGGAAAAGCACUGUAGUUUGUCAGAGACUCCAGUUUACAUCCAGAAAGGCCAUGAACAUAGGACACGCUUCUGUCUGUAGAGGCUUCAUAUGAGACCCAGAAAGUCUAUCCUAUGGCAAGUCUGACCUCUCCUGGCAAUGCUCAGUUCUGAUUUUUUUUUUUAAUGUUUUGAGUCUCCAUUAAAAAUGGUAUGUUGGC